rnacentral:rRNA from 1 species
UACAGAGACUGCAAGCGUUAUUCGGAUUCACUGGGCGUAAAGGGUGCGCAGGCGGCCGGGUGUGUCAGGUGUGAAAGCCCGAGGCUUAACCUCGGAAUUGCGCCUGAAACUACUCGGCUAGAGUAUUGGAGAGGGUAACGGAAUUCACGGUGUAGCAGUGAAAUGCGUAGAUAUCGUGAGGAACACCAGAGGCGAAGGCGGUUACCUGGACAAUUACUGACGCUCAGGCACGAAAGCAUGGGGAGCAAAAGGG